rnacentral:pre_miRNA from 1 species
AUGUUACUCCCUCCGUCCGGAAAUACUUGUCAGAGAAAUGAAUGUAUCUAGACGCAUUUUAGUUCUAGAUAUAUCCAUUUUUACCCAUUUCUUCGACAAGUAUUUCCGGACGGAGGGAGUACUAC